UGUCACCUCCCCUGUCUCUCUCUAUCUAUAUAUUAAAUUUUACACAAUGUAUCAUCUUAUACUUUGUAUCUGACCCUCCACAAACAUCAAGAUGGUUUCUGGCAGUUAUCUCCUGGCCAUCAUCUUCAUUUCUAUUCAGGGAUCCUGUGGACAGAUUGUGAUGACCCAGACUCCGGAUUAUAUCUCUGUGUCCCCAGGAGACACAGUCACCAUGUCAUGUAAAUGUACUACUGCUAUAGAUGAUGACUUAGCCUGGUACCAACAGAAACCAGGAGAACGACCAAAGCUUCUUAUCUAUGAUGCAAGCAGCAGAUACACAGGAGUCUCAGACCGGUUCUCUGGAUCUGGAUAUGACUAUGAUUUCACUCUGACAAUCAGAGGAGUGACAGAAGACGAUGCAGGAGAUUAUCACUGUCAGCAGGCUGCUAGCUAUCCUCUCACACAGUGA